CAGCCGCCGCGGUAAUACGUAGGUGGCAAGCGUUGUCCGGAAUUAUUGGGCGUAAAGGGCUCGCAGGCGGUUUCUUAGGUCUGAUGUGAAAGCCCCCGGCUCAACCGGGGAGGGUCAUUGGAAACUGGGAAACUUGAGUGCAGAAGAGGAGAGUGGAAUUCCACGUGUAGCGGCGAAAUGCGUAGAGAUGUGGAGGAACACCAGUGGCGAAGGCGACUCUCUGGUCCGUAACUGACGCUGAGGAGCGAAAGCGUGGGGAGCGAACAGGAUUAGAUACCCCGGUAGUCCCUGUCUCUUAUAC
rnacentral:rRNA from 1 species